AUUUAAAUAGCUUAAAAAGAGUAUAAUAUUGAAGAUAUUAAGGUGAUUAAUAAAUCUUUAGAUA
rnacentral:tRNA from 2 species